CAUCAAAACACUGAAUAUACAAAACCUUGGGUUGUCAACUUUUCAAAUAUAUGCACAUUCAUGGCAAGAAAAUAAAUUGGCAUAUGUAAAAAGGCCGCCAAAAAUAAGAUAGGCAAAGAAGAUAUGUAAAUUUGAAAAAUACGUCAGAAGUUUGGCGUUGCACCCCCCAAACAACCCAACAAACCUAUUCAGCGUACUCAGGAGAUG